ACGUACACUCCUGCGGGAGGCAGCAGUGGGGAAUAUUGCACAAUGGGCGGAAGCCUGAUGCAGCAACGCCGCGUGCGGGAUGACGGCCUUCGGGUUGUAAACCGCUUUCGCCUGUGACGAAGCGUGAGUGACGGUAAUGGGUAAAGAAGCACCGGCUAACUACGUGCCAGCAGCCGCGGUGAUACGUAGGGUGCGAGCGUUGUCCGGAUUUAUUGGGCGUAAAGGGCUCGUAGGUGGUUGAUCGCGUCGGAAGUGUAAUCUUGGGGCUUAACCCUGAGCGUGCUUUCGAUACGGGUUGACUUGAGGAAGGUAGGGGAGAAUGGAAUUCCUGGUGGAGCGGUGGAAUGCGCAGAUAUCAGGAGGAACACCAGUGGCGAAGGCGGUUCUCUGGGCCUUUCCUGACGCUGAGGAGCGAAAGCGUGGGGAGCGAACAGGCUUAGAAACCCCGGUAGUCCCAUGAU
rnacentral:rRNA from 1 species